UAGGGAAUCUUCCGCAAUGGACGCAAGUCUGACGGAGCAACGCCGCGUGAGUGAAGAAGGAUUUAGGUUCGUAAAACUCUGUUGUUAGAGAAGAACAGCGCAUAGAGUAACUGUUAUGCGUGUGACGGUAUCUAACCAGAAAGCCACGGCUAACUACGUGCCAGCAGCCGCGGUAAUACGUAGGUGGCAAGCGUUGUCCGGAUUUAUUGGGCGUAAAGCGAGCGCAGGCGGUCAAUUAAGUCUGAUGUGAAAGCCCCCGGCUCAACCGGGGAGGGUCAUUGGAAACGGGUUGACUUGAGUGCAGAAGAGGAGAGUGGAAUUCCAUGUGUAGCGGUGAAAUGCGUAGAUAUAUGGAGGAACACCAGUGGCGAAGGCGACUCUCUGGUCUGUAACUGACGCUGAGGCUCGAAAGCGUGGGUAGCAAACAGG
rnacentral:rRNA from 1 species